UCAAUCACACAAGCAUUUAACAUAUUGGAACAUAUUAAAAAUUCCAACUCACUUUAACAUAUCACAACACAUACACACCUUCAUAUAACAUAACAUAAACACAAAUAUAAGUACUCAAACUUAUGUCCCAAUGGUCUAAUCCCCGCUCUGAUACCAAAAACUGUAACACCCCAACUCAAACUUCCCAUUGAAUAGCAAUAUAUAUAUAUAUAUAUCUUUAUAAACAUAAUUUACUACUUAGUUACAAUAUACAUUCAUACAAUUUAAGUGGCAUGACAUACUUAAUAUAUAUAAGAAAUAUUUAUACAGUAGUUUAAUUCACACAAGUUCCCAAAAUGCCCCAAAGCUUUAGAUAACUCCUCUGGCCCACCUGAUAAUAUUGACUGAUGCAAAAAGAGCAAUGCACAGCUAAGGCUAUCUACAACUGCACUAACCUGAAAAAAAAAAAAAUUGCUAAGGAAUGAGCUAGCGACUCAAUAAGCAUUUAAUUUACUAAACUAUAGUAUAUUAGGCUAGAAUUAUCAAAUCUUUAUCAAUACAGAAAAUUAUACCAACACUUAACUAACAAUCACAAAAUCAACCAUUUCAGUUAUUCUCAUAAACAUAUAAUUUCAUCUCACGUAAUGCAAAUAAUCUCAAAUUCAACCAAGUCAAAUAAUUCAAUUCCACAUUAUUUCUAUCAAAUUAGGAUCAGAUGACUCAUCCUUACAUUUCCUCACAUUUUGAAAUUUCAGUAACCACUUGACAAGACUAUCCGCCCGGCUCAGUCUUGCCAUCUCACAUACUCGGGUAGCUAUCCGCCCGGCUCAGCUUUCCCGAUCACACAAUAUCCAUACAAAAGUCAUCAAUCCUUAAUCACAAUCAUUUCACUUCACAACACAUCACAAUCAAUUUACUUCACAAUACAUCACAAUCAAUUCACUUUAUAACAAGCCAAAAACAUAACUAAUAUCAACUCAGUCAACCAAGA
rnacentral:lncRNA from 1 species